rnacentral:misc_RNA from 1 species
AGCAGCCGCGGUAAUUCCAGCUCCAAUAGCGUAUAUUAAAGUUGUUGCAGUUAAAAAGCUCGUAGUUGAAUUUUGGGUCUGGCCGGGCGGUCCGCCCUCUGGGUGAGCACUGUUCCGACGCCGGGCCUAUCCUUCUGGUGAGUCGGCAUGUCCUUUAUUGGGUGUGUCGGGGAACCAGGACCAUUACCUUGAAAAAUUAGAGUGUUCAAAGCAGGCGUAUGCUCGAAUACAUUAGCAUGGAAUAAUGAAAUAGGACGCGUGGUGCUAUUUUGUUGGUUUCUAGAACCGCCGUAAUGAUUAAUAGGGAUAGUUGGGGGCAUUAGUAUUCAAUUGGUCAGAGGUGAAAUUCUUGGAUUUAUUGAAGACUAACUUCUGCGAAAGCAUUUGCCAAGGAUGUUUUCAUUAAUCAAGAACGAAAGUUAGGGGAUCGAAGACGAUCAGAUACCGUCGUAGUCUU